UCCCUGGUGGUCCAGUGGUCAGGACAUGGCACUUUCACUGCUGAGGGCCCAGGUUCAACCCCUGGCUGGGGAA